rnacentral:rRNA from 1 species
GCGUGAGGGAUGAAGGUCUUCGGAUUGUAAACCUCUUUCAGUAGGGAAGAAGCGAAGUGACGGUACCUAAAGAAGAAGCACCGGCUAACUAUGUGCCAGCAGCCGCGGUAAUACAUAGGGUGCAAGCGUUGUCCGGAAUUAUUGGGCGUAAAGAGCUCGUAGGUCGUUUGUCGCGUCGAUUGUGAAAAUCUGAGGCUCAACCUCAGACCUGCAGUCGAUACGGGCAAACUAGAGUGUGGUAGGGGAGACUGGAAUUCCUGGUGUAGCGGUGGAAUGCGCAGAUAUCAGGAGGAACACCAAUGGCGAAGGCAGGUCUCUGGGCCAUAACUGACACUGAGGAGCGAAAGUGCGGGGAGCGAACAGGAUUAGAUACCCUGGUAGUCCGCACCGUAAACGGUGGGCACUAGUUGUGGGAACCUUCCACGGUUUCCGCGACGCAGCAAACGCAUUAAGUGCCCCGCCUGGGGAGUACGAUCGCAAGAUUAAAACUCAAAGGAAUUGACGGGGCCCCGCACAAGCAGCGGAGCAUGCGGCUUAAUUCGACGCAACGCGAAGAACCUUACCAGGGCUUGACAUAUAGCGAAAAGUGGCAGAGAUGUCAUGUCCGCAAGGGCGCUA